UAGGUGAUCUGAUACUCAAGGACUUGG
rnacentral:piRNA from 1 species